GGGGACAUCGUAUAACUUGGUUAGUACACUUCUGUUGCAUAGAAGAAAUACGAGUUCGAUUCUCGUUGUCUCCA
rnacentral:tRNA from 1 species